rnacentral:ribozyme from 11 species
UUUAUUUUCCUUCUUUCCUUGUUUGUUUCGUGUAUUUUCUUUGGAAAGGACAGGAAUGGAUUGAGUCCUCGGCAUUCUUUCUUCGUUGCGGCCGCAUGUAAAGUGAAAAGAGAAGAGAAGAGAACGGGGUU